rnacentral:rRNA from 1 species
GAUGAACGCUGGCGGCGUGCCUAAUACAUGCAAGUCGAGCGAACGGACGAGAAGCUUGCUUCUCUGAUGUUAGCGGCGGACGGGUGAGUAACACGUGGAUAACCUACCUAUAAUACUGGUAUAACUUCGGGAAACCGGAUCUAAUACCGGAUAAUAUUUUGCACCGCAUGGUUCAAAAGUGAAAGACGGUCUUUCUGUCACUUAUAGCUGGUUCCGCGCUGCAUUAGGUGGUUGGUAAGGUAACGGCUUACCAAGGCAACGAUGCAUAGCCGACCUGAGAGGGUGUACCGCGACAGUGGAAGUGAGAGACGACACAGACACCGACGUGAGGCAGAAGCAGGGACGCUUCGGAAAUGGGCGAAAGCCUGACGGAGCAACGCAGCGCGAGUGAUGAAGGUCUUCGGGUCGUAAAACGCUGUUAUUAGGGAAGAACAUAUGCGCAUGUAACGGUGCACAUGUUGACGGAACCUAAUCAGAAGGCCACGGCUAACUACGU